UACGUAGGGGGGCAAGCGUUGUCCGGAUUUAUUGGGCGUAAAGAGCGUGUAGGCGGCUUCACAGGUCUGCUGUGAAAACUCGAGGCUCAACCUCGAGCUGUCGGUGGAAACCGUGGGGCUAGAGUCCGGAAGAGGAGAGUGGAAUUCCCGGUGUAGCGGUGAAAUGCGCAGAUAUCGGGAAGAACACCCGUGGCGAAGGCGGCUCUCUGGGACGGUACUGACGCUGAGACGCGAAAGCGUGGGGAGCAAACAGG
rnacentral:rRNA from 1 species